rnacentral:lncRNA from 1 species
GUCCGGAUCGUCUGUGUGCCGCUCGGACGCAACAACAGAAGCUCGUUAGUGACAAAACGGACAAAACCACAAACUGACGCUUCAACGGAUCGUUAGGUUUGAUGUCAGACAUCAGGCCGGGACAGAAUCAUCAGCAGGUUCUCAGCUUUUAAAACUUCAUGCGUUUGUUACUUUCAGGUUUCUGACUUUAAUUCGACUCAUCGAGACAAAGUUUGUUCGAACCGUUUGGAUAAAGUCGGAGCUCUCGAUCGGGGGGGCGGGUCGUUAAUUAGCCUUCAUUAACAAACACACAUACUGAAGUGAUCUCGUUCAUUUCUGUGGGAGGUUAAACAAUCUACACAUCUGGGUCGAGGAGGAAAGACAAAGAUGGUCCAAACUACAAAUGUGCUCCAGAUAAACGUCACGUCAACAUGUUAACAGACGUUUUCUUGUGUUCCAACAUUGAACACAUGAAGACUUUAACAUCUUAAUUUAUUAUAUAUCAGCGAUUUAUUACAGAAACUGAAUCUGCAGCAACACGCAGGUUUUUUAUUGGAACAAGUUCUGAAAAUGUUCGAACACUUUUUUACUCUCAAAUCCUGAUUUUACAGUUUGAAACUGACUCCUCGUCUCUCAGGGGGUUUAAUGGAUAGUGUGUGUGUGUGUGUGCCUCAGCCACAGAGCAGCAGAGGUGCAUGAUGGGUAAACACAUGCUGGAGGGUGAACAAACUCAGAACAGAGUGUGAUGACAGAACCGGACCGGACUGGGACGGAACAGAGGAGCCGGAGGGAGGCUGGAGAGUAUUUGUGUUGGCCAGCCUGACCUGUGUGUGUGUGUGUGUGUGUGUGUGUGUGUGAGAGUGUGUGUGUGUGUGUGUGUGUGUGUAUGUGUGAGAGUGUGUGUGUGUGUGUGUGUGUGUGUGUGUGUGUGUGUGUGUGUGGUCAGGCUUUGAGAUUAAUGACUCCACCAGGGAAACUGACACUUGCUUCGCUCUCCAGCAGAUGGUCGGACCAUCAUCUUUACACACGGGAGAAGGUGUGUGUGUGUGUGUGUGUGUGUGUCAGCUCUAACAGGACGUCCAGCUGAGAGCAGACGGAUUGCGCAACGAUUUAAAUUCAAUUCAGACAAAGUGUAUUAAAAUGACAGUAACGUGGAUCAGAACUGUGACUGAGGGGAAGAUUUAGUGUCACAACUGUCGAGCAAAAAGUCAGUUUGCAGGAUUGAAUCAACCCGCCUGUAAUUAAUCAGUUAAUCGGGGUUUGAGAGCACAAAAGAGAAAACACUUCUGAAAAGGAUCCUUUAGAAAACUGUGAUGGAGACGCAGAAAUC